AUUGAACGCUGGCGGCAGGCUUAACACAUGCAAGUCGAGCGGAGAUGAGGUGCUUGCACCUAAUCUUAGCGGCGGACGGGUGAGUAAUGCUUAGGAAUCUGCCAUUUAGUGGGGGACAACAUUCCGAAAGGAAUGCUAAUACCGCAUACGCCCUACGGGGGAAAGCAGGGGAUCUUCGGACCUUGCGCUAAUAGAUGAGCCUAAGUCAGAUUAGCUAGUUGGUGGGGUAAAGGCCUACCAAGGCGACGAUCUGUAGCGGGUCUGAGAGGAUGAUCCGCCACACUGGGACUGAGACACGGCCCAGACUCCUACGGGAGGCAGCAGUGGGGAAUAUUGGACAAUGGGCGAAAGCCUGAUCCAGCCAUGCCGCGUGUGUGAAGAAGGCCUUUUGGUUGUAAAGCACUUUAAGCGAGGAGGAGGCUACUUAGAUUAAUACUCUAGGAUAGUGGACGUUACUCGCAGAAUAAGCACCGGCUAACUCUGUGCCAGCAGCCGCGGUAAUACAGAGGGUGCGAGCGUUAAUCGGAUUUACUGGGCGUAAAGCGUGCGUAGGCGGCUUCUUAAGUCGGAUGUGAAAUCCCUGAGCUUAACUUAGGAAUUGCAUUCGAUACUGGGAAGCUAGAGUAUGGGAGAGGAUGGUAGAAUUCCAGGUGUAGCGGUGAAAUGCGUAGAGAUCUGGAGGAAUACCGAUGGCGAAGGCAGCCAUCUGGCCUAAUACUGACGCUGAGGUACGAAAGCAUGGGGAGCAAACAGGAUUAGAUACCCUGGUAGUCCAUGCCGUAAACGAUGUCUACUAGCCGUUGGGGCCUCUGAGGCUUUAGUGGCGCAGCUAACGCGAUAAGUAGACCGCCUGGGGAGUACGGUCGCAAGACUAAAACUCAAAUGAAUUGACGGGGGCCCGCACAAGCGGUGGAGCAUGUGGUUUAAUUCGAUGCAACGCGAAGAACCUUACCUGGUCUUGACAUAGUAAGAACUUUCCAGAGAUGGAUUGGUGC
rnacentral:rRNA from 1 species